GUAUUUUUCAAAGUAUUCAAAUAUUUUUGCUCAACUCAAAAAUCCUGCUUAAGGGGGGCAGGGCUUGGCCAUCGCACAGAGGUAGGGCUCCCCGCAUACUUCACUCUAAAACCGGCUAACCGACCGACACUGACCUGCAACAGACUUCCCUCCAUACCGGGGAACUCUGAGAAAGCAGCGGGCACAAGCUGGUGCAAUCUUGAUCCAAACUGCGGCAGAUCACAGGUCCGGAGCGACGGAGGCCUAGCACGGUCCCGGCUGGGAGUGGCGGCCGACCUUCACAGCAGGGACUGCCGGCUAUAUCGCGUCCGAAUCCCCCCACACCCCCAGGACCGGUGGGGGUCAUCCCGGUCCACACAACCCAGUGAUGACGUCCCUUAUCUGCCCUAUCCCAG